GUGCUUAACACAUGCAAGUCGAACGGAAAGGCCCCUUCGGGGGUACUCGAGUGGCGAACGGGUGAGUAACACGUGGGUAAUCUGCCCUGCACUUCGGGAUAAGCCUGGGAAACUGGGUCUAAUACCGAAUAGGACCACUUAGCGCAUGCUUUGUGGUGGAAAGCUUUUGCGGUGUGGGAUGGGCCCGCGGCCUAUCAGCUUGUUGGUGGGGUGACGGCCUACCAAGGCGACGACGGGUAGCCGGCCUGAGAGGGUGUCCGGCCACACUGGGACUGAGAUACGGCCCAGACUCCUACGGGAGGCAGCAGUGGGGAAUAUUGCACAAUGGGCGCAAGCCUGAUGCAGCGACGCCGCGUGGGGGAUGACGGCCUUCGGGUUGUAAACCUCUUUCAGCAGGGACGAAGCGCAAGUGACGGUACCUGCAGAAGAAGCACCGGCCAACUACGUGCCAGCAGCCGCGGUAAUACGUAGGGUGCGAGCGUUGUCCGGAAUUACUGGGCGUAAAGAGCUCGUAGGUGGUUUGUCGCGUUGUUCGUGAAAA
rnacentral:rRNA from 2 species